UCUCCGUAGGUGAACCUGCGGAGGGAUCAUUACCGAGCGAGGGCUCCGGCCCGACCUCCAACCCAUUGAAGUUACCAACUCUGUUGCCUCGGGGGUGACCCGGCCGCCGCGUCGGGGCCCCCGGAGGCCAUUAAACACUGCAUCAUUGCGUCGGAGUUAAAGUAAAUUAAACAAAACUUUCAACAACGGAUCUCUUGGUUCCAGCAUCGAUGAAGAACGCAGC
rnacentral:misc_RNA from 1 species